AGUGAACGCUGGCGGUAGGCCUAACACACGCAAGUCGAACGGCAGCACAGUAAGAGCUUGCUCUUACGGGUGGCGAGUGGCGGACGGGUGAGGAAUACAUCGGAAUCUACUUUUUCGUGGGGGAUAACGUAGGGAAACUUACGCUAAUACCGCAUACGACCUACGGGUGAAAGCAGGGGAUCUUCGGACCUUGCGCGAUUGAAUGAGCCGAUGUCGGAUUAGCUAGUUGGCGGGGUAAAGGCCCACCAAGGCGACGUUCCGUAGCUGGUCUGAGAGGAUGAUCAGCCACACUGGAACUGAGACACGGUCCAGACUCCUACGGGAGGCAGCAGUGGGGAAUAUUGGACAAUGGGCGCAAGCCUGAUCCAGCCAUACCGCGUGGGUGAAGAAGGCCUUCGGGUUGUAAAGCCCUUUUGUUGGGAAAGAAAAGCAGCAGGUUAAUACCCCGCUGUUCUGACGGUACCCAAAGAAUAAGCACCGGCUAACUUCGUG
rnacentral:rRNA from 1 species